rnacentral:rRNA from 1 species
GUCCAGACUCCUACGGGAGGCAGCAGUGGGGAAUAUUGCACAAUGGGGGGAACCCUGAUGCAGCGACGCCGCGUGAGUGAAGAAGUAUUUCGGUAUGUAAAGCUCUAUCAGCAGGGAAGAAAAUGACGGUACCUGAUUAAGAAGCCCCGGCUAACUACGUGCCAGCAGCCGCGGUAAUACGUAGGGGGCAAGCGUUAUCCGGAUUUACUGGGUGUAAAGGGAGCGUAGACGGUUGCGCAAGUCUGGAGUGAAAGGCGGGGGCCCAACCCCCGGACUGCUCUGGAAACUGUGUAACUGGAGUGCAGGAGAGGUAAGUGGAAUUCCUAGUGUAGCGGUGAAAUGCGUAGAUAUUAGGAAGAACACCAGUGGCGAAGGCGGCUUGCUGGACAGUAACUGACGUUGAGGCUCGAAAGCGUGGGGAGCAAACAGGAUUAGAUACCCUUGUAC